AUUGAACGCUGGCGGCAGGCUUAACACAUGCAAGUCGAGCGAGCGGCGGACGGGUGAGUAAUGUCUGGGAAACUGCAUGAUGGAGGGGGAUAACUACUGGAAACGGUAGCUAAUACCGCAUACCAUCAGAUGUGCCCAGAUGGGAUUAGCUAGUAGGUGGGGUAAUGGAUCACCUAGGCGACGAUCCCUAGCUGGUCUGAGAGGAUGACCGGCCACCCUUGAACUGAGACACGGGCCAGACUCCUCCGGGAGGCAGCAGUGGGGAAUAUUGCACAAUUGUGGCAAGCCUGAUGCAGCCAUGCCGCGUGUGUGAAGAAGGCCUUCGGGUUGUAAAGCACUUUCAGCGAGGAGGCGUUACUCGCAGAAGAAGCACCGGCUAACUCCGUGCCAGCAGCCGCGGUAAUUC
rnacentral:rRNA from 1 species